rnacentral:misc_RNA from 1 species
AACGCAUAUUGCACCUUUUGGUAUUCCGAAAGGUACACUUGUUUGAGCGUCAGUUUAAUCUUCAAGUUAAACUUGUUGUUGAAAGGUAACUCUUUCGAAAUAUCUCUUUCCCGUACCGAAAGCAACGAAUUGUCCUAGGUACAAGAUCUUUGACCUCAAAUCAAGUGGGAUUACCCGCUGAACUUAA